rnacentral:rRNA from 1 species
CGGGGUGCACCAGGCGCGAAAACUUUACAAUGCGGGAAACCGUGAUAAGGGAACUCUGAGUGCCCGUAAAAUCGGGCUGUCCAUCAGUUUAAAUAACUGGUGAAGAAAGGGCCGGGCAAGACCGGUGCCAGCCGCCGCGGUAAUACCGGCGGCUCGAGUGGUGGCCACUAUUACUGGGCUUAAAGCGUUCGUAGCUGGUUUGUUAAGUCUCUGGGGAAAUCUUCCGGCUUAACCGGAAGGCGUCUCAGGGAUACUGGCAGACUAGGGACCGGGAGAGGUGAGGGGUACUUCAGGGGUAGGAGUGAAAUCCUGUAAUCCUUGAGGGACCACCUGUGGCGAAGGCGCCUCACCAGAACGGCUCCGACAGUGAGGGACGAAAGCUGGGGGAGCAAACCGGAUUAGAUACCCGGGUAGUCCCAGCUGUAAACGAUGCGCGUUAGGUGUAUCGGUGACCACGAGUCACCGAGGUGCCGAAGAGAAAUCGUGAAACGUGCCGCCUGGGAAGUACGGUCGCAAGGCUGAAACUUAAAGGAAUUGGCGGGGGAGCACAAGGGCGAAUCGCG